UACUUUGUUUUGUUUAAGAGUUGGUGGGGAGGGAGUCGAGCCAAAAGCAACUAGGCUUUUGAGAUAUUCCAGUGGAAUAAAAGAAAGGAUUAAGGACGACGAGUGGUACACGACCGGAAUAAAAAUUAUGGUAAUUUUGUAUUAUUGUUGGUUUAAGGAGUGGAUCUUUGAUCGGAUUUGGUUAUAGGAGUGAUGUGCUUAAAGUGCGGG
rnacentral:lncRNA from 1 species